rnacentral:lncRNA from 1 species
UAAACUAAACCCUAUCACCUAAUCACUAAACUCUACACGUAAAUAUAAAUCCUAAUCCAAUGUCAAUCCCAAUUUUCCAAAAAUUAAAUCCAAAUUUUGAAAUGUAAGUAAGAUGCACUACCAUUCUACAAUGAGGCAUAUAGAAUAGAAAAUGUGAAAUGUAGUUGCAAUCUAAAGAUCAUCUUAACAUAUUUCUCAAAUGUUGAUAUGACUAUGCCUUCAUGGAAGGUGGUAACGUUUGCCCAAUGUCAACCUCAAUCGUACAUAAACUAAACUCUAUCAAUUAAUCACUAAACCCUACACGGAAAUAUAAACUCUAAUCCAAUGUCAAUCCCAAUUUUUCAUAAACUAAACCCUAACCACUAAUUAAUAAACCCUACAUGGAAAUAUAAACAUUAAUCCAAUGUCAACCCCAAUCUUUCAU